AAGAUCUUUACAGUGAUAAUGGUCUACGUGCCUUUAGUGAUUUACAAGCUGACUAUGGUUUACCUGGAUCAUCCUUUUUUCUGUAUUUGCAAUUAAGGUCAGCCAUGAGGGCAUACGGUGUCCCAUGGGGUACAGGCCUGCCCACUCACCCCCUUCAUAGGUUGCUGGCUGUAAGGGGACCUACUAGGGGUAUAGUAUCAAGACUUUAUAGAUUUGCUUCUGAACCUCAGAGGUCCCUUCCAGUAGAGGCCACAUGGCAGAGAGAUUUGUCAGUUGAAACUGACGAGAUUUGUUGGAGCACAGUGUGGGAAAAUAUAUGUAAAACAUCCAAAAACCCUGACCAUCAAUUAAUACAUUACAAAUUUGUUCACAGGAUGUAUUUAACACCUAGAAGACGCCACUCUAUGAAGAUUAUCACAUCUCCUAAUUGCGAUCUAUGCACACUUAACGUUUCAGGGACAUUUAUACAUGUAUAUUGGGACUGCCCUGAUGUAAGCAUUUUUUGGAAACAGGUAUCUUCUACCUUAUGCGACAUUCUUGAAAGCACAAUCCCACAUUCUCCAGUGUUACUUUUGCUUAAUGACGACUCGUCCCUAGACAUGUCUUUACAGCAAAAACGUAUUCUAUGGGCUGGGCUCACUGCUGCCAAGAAAAUGUUGGCCUCGAGGUGGAAGCCACCACAUUCUUUAGAGUGGCGAAGGUGGGCUAAUUCCUUUCUUGAUAUCAUUCGUAUGGAAAGAUCUGUUGCUCAAAUGCAUGCAGCUAGCCCUAAAACAUUGAGGGCUUGGGAUAUGGCAUACAGUGUAGCUAAAGAGAGAGUGCAGUGUGAUUGAUCUUAUUUACUUAUAUUUUUGUUUGUCUGUUUAGAGAAGAUGUUUUGAUUUGUUUGUUUCUCUAUGAUAUGUUUGUAACAUGUUUGAAUGUGUGUUUGUGUACACACACAGAGAUGUGCAUGUAUAUCUUAACUGAUAUAUAGAGAGAGAUCCUGGGUAAUUUGAAUUGGGGGGGGGGGGUGUGUCAUCGGAGUCGCC
ensembl:lncRNA